ACGGAGGAUGCAAGCGUUAUCCGGAAUUAUUGGGCGUAAAGCGUCCGCAGGCGGCCAAUUAAGUCUGCUGUCAAAGACUGCAGCUCAACUGUGGAUAGGCAGUGGAAACUGAUUGGCUAGAGUACGGUAGGGGUAGAGGGAAUUCCCAGUGUAGCGGUGAAAUGCGUAGAUAUUGGGAAGAACACCAGUGGCGAAGGCGCUCUGCUGGGCCGUAACUGACGCUGAGGGACGAAAGCUAGGGGAGCGAAAGGG
rnacentral:rRNA from 1 species